GUUUGACCGUCAGCCUCACAGUUCUCAGCUUCGCCUGAAUGGAGUUUGCACCUUCUCCCCACGCCUGCUUGACGGUGUACCCCGCUUCUUGCCUGAAGAUAGCUGGGGUAGGCUCCGGCGCUCCCGCGACCCUUGUGAGGAUAAGUGUCUCAGAAACUGUAUGGAUGGAGGUUGAAGACGUACUGAGUCACACUCCAGAGCAAUAAGUGGCGGUAAUCCCCCUUCAUAAAACACUGAAAAAAAGACGAAUCGGAAGCUGUGCCGUAAAGGAUCAUGGGUAAUACAUCUCUUUUUACUUAUGGCCAUGCGGCAAGAGGUUCGAUCUUGCUUCACGCACGUGGCGUGACGUCACUUCAGGGGCGUGGUUAACUGCCGUGUACGGAGGGGUCAAUUCCCACAUGGGCAGUGACAGUGAGACCUGGAAGGGCGUGAUUGGGAAGAACGCCCCCCCUCCAUCAUCAGACAUCUGAUUCAGAUGCCUCCUGGACGCCACCCUGGUGAGGUGUUCCGGGCAUGUCCCACCUGAAAGAGACCCAGAGGACAACCCAGGACACACUGGAGAGACUGUCUCUCAGCUGGCUUGGGAAAGCCUCGGGAUCAUUCGGAAGAGCUGGAGUAAGUGGCUGGGGAAAGGGAAGUCUGGGUACCCCUGCUGAAGCUUCUUGCCCAGCGACCCGACCCGGAUAAGCGGUAGAUAAUGGAUGGAUGGAUAGGUGGCAUUCUCAACUAGAUAAACAAGAUAAUAUUGUAUACAAACCUUUUAUUAUUUGAUAUUUAGUGACAGUUGUGCAAAAUGUGAACAAACAAAACCGGUGAUUGCACCCCAAACAAGUAGUAUCACAAGGAAAUAUAUCUGGCUAUUGACAAGUGCUGGCAAGCUCAUGUUCUGAUGUGUGUUUUUAAUUGUAAAAAAAUACUACGUAGUAUUAAAACAAGAAGUUGAGUAUUACAUACUCGUCACUCACGAUGGUUUCAAACUAAUAAUUUUAAUUCUCUUACUCACCAAUGUGAUUGUCUACUUCCUAUCCAGAAAACAUAAAACUUAAAACAUAAUUUUAAAAUGAGACCAAAAAUUUCAUGUAUACAUUCGGAAUAGCUACACCAUUUUUAUUUGUCAUUCCAUGGCCCAAAAAAAUAAAUAAAAAAAAAUCAUAAAUGCUCACCACUCAGUGUUUCCAACGCAAAGUAUGUUUUGUUCCCUGGGUCUGACUGCUGCCAGGGCUGGAUCGGCACCUUCAUGGCCAGCUGCUUCAUCUGCAUUUGAACUUGUGUUCUGUCAAACUUGAUCAAUUUGAUA